rnacentral:rRNA from 1 species
CAGCGCCGCGGUAAUACAGAGGGUGCGAGCGUUAAUCGGAUUUACUGGGCGUAAAGCGUGCGUAGGCGGCUUCUUAAGUCGGAUGUGAAAUCCCUGAGCUUAACUUAGGAAUUGCAUUCGAUACUGGGAAGCUAGAGUAUGGGAGAGGAUGGUAGAAUUCCAGGUGUAGCGGUGAAAUGCGUAGAGAUCUGGAGGAAUACCGAUGGCGAAGGCAGCCAUCUGGCCUAAUACUGACGCUGAGGUACGAAAGCAUGGGGAGCAAACAGGAUUAGAUACCCGGGUAGUCCCUGUCUCUUAUACA